CAAUAGCGUAUAUUAAAGUUGUUGCGGUAAAAAAGCUCGUAGUUGGAUUUCUGUUGAGAGCGACCGGUCCAUACCAUGUAUGCGUAUCUGGCUUGCUCCCGGCAUCCUCUCGAUAGACGUUGCUGCGCUUGAUUGCGUGGCGCGGAUCUCGGGACUUUUACUUUGAGGAAAUUAGAGUGUUCACGGCAGGCUUUCGCCAGAAUACAUUAGCAUGGAAUAAUACUAUAGGAUCUUGGUUCUAUUUUGUUGGUUUCUAGAAUUGAGAUAAUGAUUAAUAGGGACAAUUGGGGGCAUUCGUAUCAACACGUCAGAGGUGGAAUUCUUGGAUUGUGUUGCGACGAACUACUGCGAAAGCAUUUGCCAAGGAUGUUUUCAUUGA
rnacentral:rRNA from 1 species